UUACCCCCUAAUUUCUCUUCCCUUUCUUCCUCACUUUCGUUUCCCGUAAUACACCACUACCAUUGAACCACUCUUCCUCUCUUCUUCACUCUCCAUCAUCUGUUGUUCACUCAACCAUUCACUCUCCAUCAGUCGUUCAUUCGCUGCCUUGCGAGAGCGUUUCUCUCGUCUCCAUUAUCGUCCAUCAGUCGUUCAUUCGCUGCCUUGCGAGAGCGUUUCUCUCGUCUCCAUUAUCAAAGGCUCUUGUUGCCUCUCCAUCAUCGAAGGCUCUUGCUGCCUCUCCAUCAUCUCGUUGAACCACAGUUCAAGCAUGUUUGUCUAGGUAGGCUUUGAGAUGAUUGAUGCAAUUGCUGUGUCGUAGGGGAUUCCUAUGAACACUGCCCAUUCCAAAGCCAUUUUCGGAAAAGGUUUUGUUGGUGAAGUUCAUGUCUUCUUUGCAAAUCCUCAUACUUACAUGAAUCUGAGUGGUGAAUCAGGUUUAAAAUCUGAGUUAGAAAAGGCUUCACCUACUUUUGGCCGUGGUGCUACAUACUUGAAGGAAUUACGCAUUAAGGCCUUACCAAGACAUAUCUGCCAAGCGAAACACCGACUCCACUGGUGAAAUAUAGAGAAGAAGAGUUAGUUAAUUUGGGAGGAGAUGGAACGGGAUAACGUAGAGAGUGGGAGAGGGUCUAUGACUAUGAUGUCUACAAGAUAACGAUGAAAAUUAUGUGCGUCCUAUUCUUGGAGGGUCUGACACCUUGCCUUAUCCUCGUAGGGGGAGGACUGGUAGAAGACCAACAAGGAAAGAUCCAAAAAGUGAGAUGAAGCUUUUGGACAUUUGAAGUUAGUGGCCCCAUAUUCCCUAUUUUUUCUCCUUUUCUUACAAAUUAUUAGGAAGUUUAUAUAACUUUGUCAUUUUGUUUUUAUUUUCUAUUUAUUUAUUUUGUGUAUUUUGUAUCAGUGCUAUGCUGCACUGUAGUUAUUAAACGUUCAAGAAUACAUUAAAAACAUUUUGUUUUAUCUCUCUACUGAAAGAGUGAGAUAGUACAGUUAAAAAGGUUUAUUGGUUAUUUAUAGAUAUAGAUAUUGUUCUCUCAUUUAAGAAAUGAAAUAUUAUAGGUGUCAGCACUUA